rnacentral:misc_RNA from 1 species
GAUGAAGAACGUAGCGAAAUGCGAUACGUAAUGUGAAUUGCAGAAUUCAGUGAAUCAUCGAAUCUUUGAACGCAUAUUGCGCUCUUUGGUAUUCCGAAGAGCAUGCUUGUUUGAGUAUCAGUAAACACCUCAAAGCUUUUGGAUUUUUUAAUCGAAAAGCUUUGGACUUGAGCAAUCCCAACACCAAUCUUUUUGAGAUCGGUGGCGGGUUGCUUGAAAUGCAGGUGCAGCUGGACAUUCUCCUGAGCUAAAAGCAUAUUCAUUUAGUCCCGUCAAACGGAUUAUUACUUUUGCUGCAGCUAACAUAAAGCGAGUUUGACCGUAUUGGCUGACUGAUGCAGGAUUUCACAAGGGUCGGCAACGAUUCUUGUUAAACUCGAUCUCAAAUCAAGUAAGACUACCCGCUGAACUUAAGCAUAUCAAUAAGCGGAGGA